AGUGUAGGCGAUUUUGACCCAUCUUCAGACAACUCUGGAUUGUUUUAAAUGUCCACGAGUUUGCUUUUGAUGGGAGAUCAAUAGUCUUUUAG